UUAGAGAAGAAAAAAGGGUGAUCCAUUCACAGUCAGAGGGGGCAUCUGUGGGUUAUAGAUGAAACAUACUCAGUUUGGGGUUACCACGAAACCAUCCAAUGAAAAGCCUCUGGAGCCAAGUGUGCAUAUGGAGAUGACAAGAAUGUGAAGGCUUUCUGAUUAGAGGUGACAGAGCAACAGUAGGAGAAUUUAAGGUCAGAAUUUAGGGAAAAGAAGUGAGAUGUGGAGGACAGAGCUUUGGGGGAAUACCAAAGUCAGGAGGAGGAAAAGGAAACAGCAAAGCAAACAGAGACCUGGGCAAUCAAGCAGGUGGAGAAAACUCAGGACAGGUGGUUAGAAAUCAAGGGAAGGGUAUCCUAGAGCAAUAGGCAAUGCUGCGUUUCUGGAGGGGAAGAAACAAGAAACAGAAUGCCCUUGUGACGGUAAGUGAAGGUGCCUAGGGAAGGGGGGAAAGGGUUAACCUUAAGAAAGCUGCCUUCCAAGAAGGAAGGCAGGGAGACUGUCUUUGGGGGCUAGGGCUGGAGAAAGUGACAGCAGGGAAGGAACCGAGUGUGUCAAGGUCAUUUAGUCACUCAAGGGCAGCAGAAGGGUUGCGCUCACUACUGCGCAACAGGCCCCUUCUAAUCACAGGCCCCCUACUGCGGGGGCCGUUCCAGGGCCAGGUGUGUGCUCCAAGACUCAGUGCCUGGAGGCACAAUCUGUAUCCUCAGUUCUUAGGAAAGCAGAGCUGGGUCACCAGACAGCCUAAGGAGGACAUUGAGUUUUCUCUUGGAAGCAGGGCCCCUUCCUGCAGCUGGGAGAAGGUGAAAAUAUGAGGCCUCUCAUCACACUGAGUCACUGAAAAUCUCCGGUGGAUUUUCCCCGCAGGUGGGGCGUUCCUGUACAUAGUCUCACCAAAAGGCCAGCUAAGGGCUGGCGGAGUAUAAGGAAGAAAGUACAGGGGGCGACGGUCUGAAAAUCAUUCACCACCCGUCACUGCACAGCUAAGAGCAUCACACACAAUUGCAUGCAACAUGGUUUCAUUUUCAAGAAAAAGAUUAGGAACCGCUGCUUCCCUGCCACACCCCCUCACCCUGGCCCGCCCUGGUCCCAGAGCUACUUAAUGUCUCAACAUUCGAGAAUGAGAGUUCUCUCAUCUGACAUCAGAGAGGACUUUCAAGCUGGUGCUGAGCUUCAUAGCAUGGAUCCGAUCCCCUUAGAACAUGGAAACCUGGACUCCUGGCCACCUCCACCUUUGCAGACCAGAGCGAGUGCUGGAUUCUAAUAGCAAAUAUUGGUUUCUUCCCCUUUUCAAGUGGACAAACAAGGAUAAUAAAAGAAAGUUGAACAUGGGAAUUCUGGUCCUUUUUGGAUCACUCUACCCAUCAGAGAAUGCCUCAUUUUCAGAGAGAUUUCAUUUAAAGGGAAAAUUUUAUUCUUGCUGCCUGUUUGUAGUAGUACAGAAGGGAUAUCCUGAGACAGGCUGGGAUGUUUGAGGCUCUGUAUUAAAGUUAUUGUGCUGCGCUUAAUCACUCAGUUGUGUCUGACUCUUUGCAACCCUAUGGACUGUAGCCUGCCAGGCUUCUCUGUC